CCCAAACUUGUUUUAUACCGAUCGGCCCUCAAGCAAAUGCUUGAUGGGCUUGUAUCCAGGCCCGGCCCUGCCUCCCUGUGUUCGGUUAUAACAUAAACAGAAAACUCAUAAUUAAAGGAGAAAACUUUAUUGUGUGUUUGCACCAAGUAAAGGUAAGGGAGAGUUAAUGGAAGAGAAAGAGAGAGAGACCUGGGAUGAAUGGAACUCGAGACAUGUCAAGUAAUCUUGCCUCAGCCAUCUCCUCCUCUUCUUCUUCUUCUUCUCUCUCUCUCUCUCUCUCUCUGUGAUCUCGUCUGGGUCUUGGCUUGCUUAUGUCGCUUACCCUUUGUGUAAAAGUUUUUAUCUAUGGUAAAACAGUCAUGACCUCUCAUUUUUUCUACUCUCCCUCUCUCUCUCUUUCACAUAACGACAAAGAGUCUAUGAGGAAGUGAUUAAAGAUGUAACGGAACAGAAUCGAAUAAGAACAGGCCCAUUUAUAUUCUACAGGCCC
rnacentral:lncRNA from 1 species